GGGGCACUCUAGCCGAGACUGCCGGUAAUAAACCGGAGGAAGGUGGGGAUGACGUCAAAUCAUCAUGCCCCUUAUGACCUGGGCUACACACGUGCUACAAUGGUUGGUACAACGAGUUUGCGAGUCGGUGACGGCGAGCUAAUCUCUUAAAGCCAAUCUCAGUUCGGAUUGUAGGCUGCAACUCGCCUACAUGAAGUCGGAAUCGCUAGUAAUCGCGGAUCAGCACGCCGCGGUGAAUACGUUCCCGGGCCUU
rnacentral:rRNA from 1 species